rnacentral:rRNA from 1 species
UGUAACAAGGUUUCCGUAGGUGAACCUGCGGAAGGAUCAUUAAAGAUUUUGGGCUUUUAACCCGAUCGCUCAGCUGUGCGCCCUCCGGGGCUGCACGCUGAAUCAAGACCUCACCCCUGUGCACAUUUUCGGUUGCGGCUUCGGUCGCUGCCGCUUUCAAAUGCAACUACUCAGUCUCGAAUGUCAACAAACUAUAAAAAAAGUAACAACUUUCAACAACGGAUCUCUUGGCUCUCGCAUCGAUGAAGAACGCAGCGAAAUGCGAUAAGUAAUGUGAAUUGCAGAAUUCAGUGAAUCAUCGAAUCUUUGAACGCAUCUUGCGCUCCUUGGUAUUCCAUGGAGCAUGCCUGUUUGAGUGUCACGUAAACCCUCACCCUUGCGAUGUAACAGUCGCCCGCGGUGGACUUGGACUGUGCCGUAACCGGCUCGUCUUGAAAUGCAUUAGCUGGCGCUUUUAGAGUGCUGGGCGACGGUGUGAUAAUUAUCUGCRCCAAUGCCUUAGGCCUCUUCAGCGGUGCUGCUUACAGCCGUCCCUCUGUGGACACGCAAUUUUAAAGCUUUGGCCUCAAAUCAGGUAGGACUACCCGCUGAACUUAAGCAUAUCUA